AUUGAACGCUGGCGGCAUGCCUUACACAUGCAAGUCGAACGGCAGCAUGGGUGCUUGCACCUGAUGGCGAGUGGCGAACGGGUGAGUAAUGCAUCGGAACGUACCCGGAAGUGGGGGAUAACGUAGCGAAAGUUACGCUAAUACCGCAUAUUCUGUGAGCAGGAAAGCGGGGGAUCGCAAGACCUCGCGCUUCCGGAGCGGCCGAUGUCGGAUUAGCUAGUUGGCGGGGUAAAGGCCCACCAAGGCAACGAUCCGUAGCGGGUCUGAGAGGAUGAUCCGCCACACUGGGACUGAGACACGGCCCAGACUCCUACGGGAGGCAGCAGUGGGGAAUUUUGGACAAUGGGCGCAAGCCUGAUCCAGCCAUGCCGCGUGAGUGAAGAAGGCCUCGGUUGUAAGACUCUUCGUCGGGAGGAAAUACGCAUCUCCUACUAACGGGUGGUGGAGUGACGGUACCGAACGUAAGAAGACACCGGCCUAACUACGUAGCCAGCAGCC
rnacentral:rRNA from 1 species